CGGAGCGGCAAGAGGAAAGUCCGGGCAACACAGAGCACCAUACUUUCUAACAGUGAGCUGUCGGCGACGGCAGAGUAACGUGACAGAAAAUAACAGCCUCAGCCACUUUCGAGUGACCGGGGCAAUGGUGAAAAGGUGGGGUAAGAGCCCACCGGAUGUCGUGGUGACACGGCAUGCCGCACGUCUUAUGGGUUGCAAGGCCAUGUAUACCGGCGCGUGACAUCCUUUAAUGGAUUUGGUCACAAUGGGUUGCUCGUCCAUUGCCGGGGGGUAGGCUGCUGGAGUGCUGAAGCAAAGCGAAGCACCGAUUAGAUAAAUGACACGGGCGCUGUGGCAACCUUUAGGGCAGAAAUCCGUAAGCCCCUGACAGAAGUCCCACAGUGACAUAACCCGGCUUAUAGUCCUGCUA
rnacentral:RNase_P_RNA from 1 species